rnacentral:rRNA from 1 species
CAGUCGCCGCGGUAAUACGAAGGGGGCUAGCGUUGUUCGGAAUUACUGGGCGUAAAGCGCACGUAGGCGGAUACUUAAGUCAGGGGUGAAAUCCCGGGGCUCAACCCCGGAACUGCCUUUGAUACUGGGUAUCUCGAGUCCGGAAGAGGUGAGUGGAAUUCCGAGUGUAGAGGUGAAAUUCGUAGAUAUUCGGAGGAACACCAGUGGCGAAGGCGGCUCACUGGUCCGGUACUGACGCUGAGGUGCGAAAGCGUGGGGAGCAAACAGGAUUAGAUACCCCAGUAGUCCCUGUCUCUUAUAU